rnacentral:rRNA from 1 species
GGCGAACGGGUGAGUAACACGUGGGUAACCUGCCCAUCAGAAGGGGAUAACACUUGGAAACAGGUGCUAAUACCGUAUAACACUAUUUUCCGCAUGGAAGAAAGUUGAAAGGCGCUUUUGCGUCACUGAUGGAUGGACCCGCGGUGCAUUAGCUAGUUGGUGAGGUAACGGCUCACCAAGGCAACGAUGCAUAGCCGACCUGAGAGGGUGAUCGGCCACACUGGGACUGAGACACGGCCCAG